rnacentral:rRNA from 1 species
UACGUAGGGACCGAGCGUUGUCCGGAAUCAUUGGGCGUAAAGAGCGUGUAGGCGGCCACUUAAGUCCUGCGUGAAAUCUUGCGGCUCAACCGCAAGCGGUCGUGGGAAACUGGGUGGCUAGAGUGCGGGAGAGGAGAGUGGAAUCCUGGUGUAGCGGUGGAAUGCGCAGAUAUCAGGAGGAACACCGGUGGCGAAGGCGGGUCUCUGGGCAGUAACUGACGCUGAGGAGCGAAAGCGUGGGGAGCGAACAGG